rnacentral:rRNA from 1 species
UACAGAGGGUGCAAGCGUUGUUCGGAAUUAUUGGGCGUAAAGCGCGUGUAGGCGGCUUUGCAAGUCGGGUGUGAAAGCCCUCGGCUCAACCGAGGAAGUGCGCCCGAAACUGCAGAGCUUGAGUACCGGAGAGGAUGGCGGAAUUCCCCAAGUAGAGGUGAAAUUCGUAGAUAUGGGGAGGAACACCGGUGGCGAAGGCGGCCAUCUGGACGGAUACUGACGCUGAGACGCGAAAGCGCGGGGAGCAAACAGG